rnacentral:lncRNA from 1 species
CAGACACUGAGAAAGCAGAGCAAUACUUCACAUUGUGUGACACUCUUAAGAAACAGCAGAGCUUUAUCCAGCUUCAUCCAUGAUCACUGUGGGUCCCUUCCAACUCAAAUAUUCUGUGAUACGUGUGUGAUAGCUUUUGAACCCGUAUACCCACGUUUUCCUGCCCUGAGUGUAUGAAGCAUUUGAGGGGUGUUCAAGGGGAGUGCAGAAGUGACUCUGAAGUGCUGUGCUCUGUCUCUGGGUCGUGUGAUUCCCUAAGCUGGACAGCAUUCAUGUCUGCACUUGGUUGAUGUAAUUGUUGUGAGCAAGCACCAUUUCUAUUUAUUUAUGGCAAAAACCUUCUACAGGAAUCACUCCAUUGCAGGAAAAGGAGAAAGAAGAGUGAGAUUGAACUGCAGCCCAGGCAGGUGCAUGUUGCCCUCCUAAAUGCUGUUUCCCUUCUUUCCUGUUCCCUUCUCCUUUGACAUAGCUGGAAGAUUGUUUUCUUAGCACAGCUGGAAAAUGAGUUUAUUGUGGUCUCAAG